rnacentral:misc_RNA from 1 species
CUCUAAUCAACCCUCUUUUUUCCUUGGAAGAAUGUUGUUUUUUUUAUGCUGCAGGGAAAGAAGCAUAUUCAAGAACUCAAGUUGGUGCUAGCUAAUCCAAAUUUAUGGCCGGAAUAAUCAGCUAGGGAAAUUCUUCUUUUUCUUUUUUUAUGGUAAGCAUGUCAAAGCUUAUCCUAUCGUGCUUCCUUUCUUUCAUGGAAUGGUUACGAUCUGUGAAGCAUGCCUAGAGAAUGUAUAGGUACUCGAUGCAAUGUUUAGAUAAAUAUGGAAAGUGGGGUUGAUUUUUACCCCUUUCGCUAAAUUGGG